rnacentral:rRNA from 1 species
ACGAACGCUGGCGGCGUGCUUAACACAUGCAAGUCGAACGAAGAGCGAUGGAAGCUUGCUUCUAUCAAUCUUAGUGGCGAACGGGUGAGUAACGCGUAAUCAACCUGCCCUUCAGAGGGGGACAACAGUUGGAAACGACUGCUAAUACCGCAUACGAUCUAAUCUCGGCAUCGAGGAUAGAUGAAAGGUGGCCUCUACAUGUAAGCUAUCACUGACGGAGGGGAUUGCGUCUGAUUAGCUAGUUGGAGGGGUAACGGCCCACCAAGGCGAUGAUCAGUAGCCGGUCUGAGAGGAUGAACGGCCACAUUGGGACUGAGACACGGCCCAGACUCCUACGGGAGGCAGCAGUGGGGAAUCUUCCGCAAUGGACGAAAGUCUGACGGAGCAACGCCGCGUGAGUGAUGACGGCCUUCGGGUUGUAAAGCUCUGUUAAUCGGGACGAAAGGCCUUCUUGCGAACAGUUAGAAGGAUUGACGGUACCGGAAUAGAAAGCCACGGCUAACUACGUG